UUUUGACCUCAGUUCAGACAAGGCUACCCGCCGAAUUUAAGCAUAUUACUAAGCGGAGGAAAAGAACUAACAAGGAUUCCCCUAGUAACGGCGAGCGAACCGGAAGAGCCCACUUGAAAUCUAAAGGUUGUACCUUCGAUUGUAGUCUAGAGACGCGUUCUCUGCGGCGGAUCGGCUCCAAGUUCCCUGGAAAGGGACGUCAGAGAGGGUGAGAACCCCGUCGAAGCCGGUUUCAGUCGCUCCACGAGGCGCAGUCGAGGAGUCGGGUUGUUUGGGAAUGCAGCCCUAAGCAGGUGGUAAAUUCCAUCUAAGGCUAAAUAUUGGCGAGAGACCGAUAGCGAACAAGUACCGCGAGGGAAAGAUGAAAAGACCUUUGAAAAGAGAGUUAAAAAGUACCUGAAAUUGUUGAGGGGGAAGCGAUUCAAACCUGUGGGUGCUCCCGGGGCAGUAGCAAUACACGCGCUCGGGGCUGGUCAACGUGGGUUAGCUUGGAAGGAUAUCACUUCCGAGUUGACCGAGGACUCGACGUUGGCGGAAAGGUUUGCAUUGACCCGUCUAGAAACACGGACCAAGGAGUCUAA
rnacentral:rRNA from 1 species